GACGAACGCUGGCGGCGUGCUUAACACAUGCAAGUCGAGCGGUAAGGCCCUUUCGGGGGUACACGAGCGGCGAACGGGUGAGUAACACGUGGGUGACCUGCCCUCAGCUCUGGGAUAAGCCCGGGAAACUGGGUCUAAUACUGGAUAUGACUCCACGGUGCAUGCCGUGGGGUGGAAAGCCUUGUGCGGCUGAGGAUGGGCCCGCGGCCUAUCAGCUUGUUGGUGGGGUGAUGGCCUACCAAGGCGACGACGGGUAGCCGGCCUGAGAGGGCGACCGGCCACACUGGGACUGAGACACGGCCCAGACUCCUACGGGAGGCAGCAGUGGGGAAUCUUGCGCAAUGGGCGAAAGCCUGACGCAGCGACGCCGCGUGAGGGAUGACGGCCUGGUGUAACU
rnacentral:rRNA from 1 species